rnacentral:rRNA from 1 species
UACGUAGGCAGCGAGCGUUGUUCGGAGUUACUGGGCGUAAAGGGUGCGUAGGCGGUUGUUUAAGUUUGGUGCGAAAUCUCCCGGCUCAACUGGGAGGGUGCGCCGAAUACUGAAUGACUAGAGUGCGGGAGAGGAGAGUGGAAUUCCUGGUGUAGCGGUGAAAUGCGUAGAUAUCAGGAGGAACACCGGUGGUGUAGACGGCUCUCUGGACCGUAACUGACGCUGAGGCACGAAAGCGUGGGGAGCGAACAGG